AUGAAGGUGUCCAUCCCCACCAUAUCAGGUGCUGCUACUUCUGAGACCUCAGCCCGGGCUGACGACCAUGAGAUGGAGGACGCAACAACCUCAAAACCUGCUCCAUCCAAUGUUGUUAUCACUCUCCCUGAUGAUGAUGAAGAUGAGGAACCGCUGAAGCACAGAAUGAGAAGGAAAGCGUCGGCCAGCAGGGUGCCCCAGGAUGUGACGGUGCCUGAGACUCUGGUCGCGGAGGAGGAAAACACCACUCGACACACUGUGUCCUUCGCAGAUCCGCUGACGAGUGCUCCGCAGCCCUCCCUCUUCACGACGCACCACGUCCCAGAGGACCAAGCUGGCGCAGCGAAGGAGGCGAUACGCCAGGCAGGGAUCAUGAUGGAGCAGUUGAGGACCAUCCGGGAUGCGAGCCAGGCAGCUUACGACGCCAGUUCCGCCCUCCAAAGCAAUGUUCAGAACUCCUGUGACCUUGCGGCUCGCUACACUGAACUGGAAAACAAGCACAUUCAUCUCGAGCUGAAUUUGAAGCUGGUUCAGGAGAAUCUGACGAAGGCGAAGGAGGAGACCGAAGGUAAGGUGAGGGAGGCCCAAAGGAAAAAAGACCUUGAACUGGCUGAGAAGAUCAAGCUUGUUGACGAGAAGUUAGCUUCAGUCACAAAGCUUGAGCAAGAAAAUGCUACUCUGAAAGCUGUUCUUGGGAAGAAAAAUGACCUGGAGGUCUUCCUGAGUGGCCUUGCCAAGAAGCUGUUUCUUAUGCUUGAAGAAUUUUGUCAAAACUUUGAAGAAGAGACUAGCCGACUGGAACCAAACCUUGACCCCAUCAAUUCUCCGGUGAACGACGAAGUUGCCAUGAAUGUUUUCCGACUGGAGUCCCGUGUUGCAGCUGCCGUGGACUAUCUUGCAAGGCUGAAGGUCGCCACAUCUCGCAUCGACUCAACGCUCUGGCCCGGGGAGACACUCCAGAACGACCUCGAGUCGCUGAUGGCUCGUUUGAACGCUGUCCCUGGUCGAGUGCAGGAGUGGAAAAAGUCCUCGGCUCGGUGCGGUGCAGAUGUUGCUCUGUGUCUGGCCCGAGUCCACUGCAAAGAUGCGCGAGAAGACAAGCUGGCUGCCCUCCGAGUGGCCAACACUAAGAAACACGACUUCAGGUCCUUUAUGGAAACUUUCCUUGUUGCUGCUACUCGGAUCGCAGAUGGAAUUGAUCUCGAUGAGUUUGUUGCACCUUCCAGCCCUCCACAGGAGGGGUAA
rnacentral:rRNA from 1 species